GACGAACGCUGGCGGCGUGCCUAAUACAUGCAAGUCGAGCGCAGGAAAUCAUCCGAACCCUUCGGGGGGGACGUUGAUGGAAUGAGCGGCGGACGGGUGAGUAACACGUAAAGAACCUGCCCUCAGGUCUGGGAUAACCACGGGAAAUCGGGGCUAAUACCGGCUGGGUCAUCGGACCGCAUGGUCCGAGGAUGAAAGGCGCUUCGGCGCCGCCUGGGGAUGGCUUUGGGGUGCAUUAGCUAGUUGGUGGGGUAAUGGCCCACCAAGGCGACGAUGCAUAGCCGACCGGAGAGGGGGAUCGGCCACACUGGGACUGAGACACGGCCCAGACUCCUACGGGAGGCAGCAGUAGGGAAUCUUCCACAAUGGACGAAAGUCUGAUGGAGCAACGCCGCGUGAACGAUGAAGGCCUUCGGGUCGUAAAGUUCUGUUGUAAGGGAAGAACAAGUGCCGCAGGCAAUGGCGGCACCUUGACGGUACCUUGCGAGAAAGCCACGGCUAACUACGUGCCAGCAGCCGCCGUAAAAC
rnacentral:rRNA from 1 species